CCUCACACCACCACCUCACCGCAGUGCUUGCAGCUGGCUUUUCAAGGGUGUCUGUGUGUGGGCGGUUGUUCCUGCAACCGUGCUCCGCACAGGUGGGAACCUAGGGCAGGUGAAGCAUGUAUACAGUGCGGUGCUCUCUGCUGAAACCAGCCCUUCCUCCUGCAGCGAUCAGAACCCCCAGCGUGGGAAACACGAUCCCGGUGCUCCAGCCUGGACCAGCAUGAGUCGUUCUUGUUGCCACGCUGGAAGGAAGGACUGCAGUGACCCUCAGUCAUGCUAAGCCUCUUACCAUUAAUGGUUUGUCCAGAUGUCAUUGUUUUCCCCUCUCAGUUCAGAUAUGAUAAACCCGAGAGUAUUGAUGGUGCUCACAAGCAACGCUAGUCCUAGUGCCUGCUGGCGCUGCACUCCCCCCAUGCCCCCCAUGACACUUGUCCUGCUGCUCCAUUUUGGCUCCCGUGGAGCCCGAGUAGGGUGGAAGGAGCAUCCCGACUAGCUCCGGCUCCCGAAACACCCAGCGGCCCUGCAGAUGAGUGGGACUGGUGCUGCAGGGCAGCUCUGGAGCCCUCACACACCCACUCAAGCCUUCAUGCAUCUGGAAAUACCAUUGCUGCCUCCCGAUUCACAGCCGUGUUUUUUAACUACUGCUCUCUCCUUCUGGCUUCACACUCCCCUACACAGCAUGUCCCUGACUUCCCCUCCUCUCCUUCUGGGCUGUCACAGAGUAAUUGAUGAUUUUAGGGAGUAGUUGACUCAGACUGCCUGGUUUUGCUCUGUAAGUUCAUUCCUGCAGCCUGGACCCAGGAGGCUGGUGUCUCACUGUCAGCACGGGACUGGAGCUGGGCACCUCCAGCCAGGCUGGGGUAGCUCUGGCUUUGCUUGGUCCCAUGGAAAUGCUCUGAUGGACUGAGGGCAUCCCAGGGAGCGCUCCAUGCUGCGCCAUGCUGUGCCUUGCCAUGCUGCGCCAUGCUGUGCCAUGCUGUGCCUUGCCAUGUUGUGCCUUACCAUGCUGUGCCAUGCUGUGCCAUGCUGUGCCACGCUGCCAUGCAGAGCUGUGCUGCACAGAGCAGCUCUUCCCAGCCCCUCAGCCGAGUUAACAACUGGGAGCUGCACAAGCAUUUUUGGCACCUUCCUUCCCCCAAGGGAGACUACUAGCCAAAGGGGGGUCUCUGGGCGAACCCCUGCCAGCCCCGGUGAGGGGAUGGGUUCACUUGGUGCCUGUGCCCCAUCCACACUGCCACGGACAAGGCUCCCUUCCGCUGUGCCAAAAAUUACACAGAGCUCAGAGCCAGGAGCUGUAGAGCUCAAACACGGACCCCUGCCAGGCCUCAUAGCACAGCCAUGAUGUAAGAGCAGAAAGUCAGCAAAACCCCCACCACUCCAGCGCAGGAGCAUUAACCCUUGCAGCAAGGAAGGUUGUGGGGUUCUGGUUCUUCCCCUGAGGGAUUCUGGCUUGUCCCUUGCCUCAAGGCACUGCUCCCCCAGCAGCUCCCAGCACCCACCCUCCUUUGCCGGCACCUCAGGCACUGGUGGGACACCUCCCCACUCCAGGACCACCCCCAGGCUGUGCUGUCCACACUGACAAAACCAGUGGCUGUUCUUCCUUGCCAAGUGCUGGGCUGUGGCAGCUGUGUCAGGUGGGCAUCCCUGUCCUCCAGUCCUGGCACUCCUCGGCGGGUGCCACAACUGGUGUCCAAGCCUCAUGCUCUGCCUGUCCUCUGAUUUAAAUCAUUCCUAAGGCAACAGGUUACAGGCUAAGAAGUCCUUAAAUUAUCUAAGAAAGUUUAUGAACUUUCACAGCAUAAAAUGAAUGUGACAUUUCCUCACCAUAAUAGAUGUUCAUCAGAAAUGACUUGAUCCAAACAACCUUGUGCUACAAAGCCAUUGGGCCAUGAAAAACCUUUGACAAAACAAUCUCCUUUAAACGUGGCUUUGCUGGAAUUAGGGCUGAUUAUGAUCAGAUGACUUAGUAUUUCGACCUUGUUAUAUUCCCAUUAUUUUGACAAUUCACUGAAUAUUUGUAAUAUUUUACUCUGGAUGAGUACUUUCACAAAGUGAGGUACGUACAACUGCUGUAUUCAUUUUUCUGCAUGGAUUUAGCUUGAUCAAGAAGAGAUGAUGUGCUGUAUGCUGUCCCUGCUGCGCUUUCUAAAUAGGCCAUAUUGGACUAAUAAAAAAGGAUGCACAAAGAUGUUCUUCAUCCAGAGACCAUCUAGUGAAAAUGCACCCUUUUUUUUUAAUGGUUAGGACUUGCACUGUGCUGAGCUCAGCUGGUGCUGGGAGCUGUGGCAGCUCUGUUGCAGCACCCAGGAGUUGUGCUUGCAGAUGUUUGGGGAGCACAGGGGAGCAAUUCUGGCCCUGCCCACAUGUGGUUCCGGGGCUGGAGGGUUUUCUUCAGGGACCAGACAAGCAAUGCCUAAAUAAAUAGGCAAAGUGGAUGCAAUUCCAAGCUCAUAUCAUGUUACAGUAAUCAGAGAAUAAAACUGUUUUUCUCUGUGA